GAUGAACGCUGGCGGCGUGCCUAAUACAUGCAAGUCGAGCGAACGGACGAGAAGCUUGCUUCUCUGAUGUUAGCGGCGGACGGGUGAGUAACACGUGGAUAACCUACCUAUAAGACUGGGAUAACUUCGGGAAACCGGAGCUAAUACCGGAUAAUAUUUUGAACCGCAUGGUUCAAAAGUGAAAGACGGUCCUGCUGUCACUUAUAGAUGGAUCCGCGCUGCAUUAGCUAGCUGGUAAGGUAACGGCUUACCAAGGCAACGAUGCAUAGCCGACCUGAGAGGGUGAUCGGCCACACUGGAACUGAGACACGGUCCAGACUCCUACGGGAGGCAGCAGUAGGGAAUCUUCCGCAAUGGGCGAAAGCCUGACGGAGCAACGCCGCGUGAGUGAUGAAGGUCUUCGGAUCGUAAAACUCUGUUAUUAGGGAAGAACAUAUGUGUAAGUAACUGUGCACAUCUUGACGGUACCUAAUCAGAAAGCCACGGCUAACUACGUG
rnacentral:rRNA from 1 species